AUUCGCAAGAAACAUCAUAGGUCUGUCAAGUUGUUCCAAUUCUAAAGUCCCCAUCGAGCCAACCACGGUCCAGAUGCCCGGAUGGGACUUGCUCCACUUUACCGAAUGCAGAAUGCAUUUCCCACCAGCAUCAGGGAACAAUGGCGGAGGAGACAAUACACAACUGGAAGGAUGACCGUACUGCAUCCUCCCGUGCCUGGGACUCCAAAGUGCACAUCUGGGGACGGCGCUUCUUCAGGAUGAUCCGCACCAAAACCUCUCCUACAGGAAGAAACCUAUUGCCAACCCCGGCACACGCGAGGGAAGGCUGUCUGGUGCUUUGUCAGUCCUGCCAGACCAACCCUGUAUCACAAAAAUUACGUUCCCCCAGACCUAAAAUGCAAUUUGCAGUUAUGUUUGACUGAAACGUAUUUCUCUCCAGAUUACGUUUGUAUUUGACGUAUUAUAAUUACAAAUACGUCUCUGAUCAACGUA